AGCCCGGUACUGCUGAUUUGACAUUGCCAGGAGAAAUCCAUAUUUGAAACUCAGCUUUGUGCAGUUUCACCGUAUCUUUAGCGGCAGUGCUUCUAUUGGAGAUUCAUCCCAGAUGUGAUCUGCAACUGAAGAGGGGACUGCAUAUGCAGUGUUUCCCAAGAGCUUACGCCUGAAGCAAUAGAAGAAAUUCUGCUGGAGCAGUAACAGCCGUAGCACCGCAGUCCUUACAGGCAUCCAUACUCAGGCAGUGUGCAGAAAAAUACUCUUCCAGUUGCCACAGAUGAAGCAAGCAGAUGGUUUCAGACGUGUAAAACCUCUACUGAACAUGGAGGAGAUGACCGUGUCUGCACAAGAGGUAGGAAUUCUGGCUGAGUGAUAUUGCACCCAGAAAUGUGCUUUGUGGCAAAAACACCAGUCUUUCCAUUCUACUUUAUUUAUUAAACAAGAGUCUGUGUAAUUCAGAAUGAUGUUAUGAUGGCUGCGUUUCAAAGUGAAUUCAGUCAAGAAGGAUUUCAUUUAGAGAAAUAUUGCAUUCUAGCCAGGAAAUUUCUAAUUGGUAUUUUGUAAUCCAGUGAGGCUGCCUCCAAGAAUCCUUCCAGAGUUACUAUGGGUGAGUCAGUACUUGUGGACACAUGGUCCACAAACCUGUGGGUUUCCUGAAU
rnacentral:lncRNA from 1 species